GACGAACGCUGGCGGCGUGCUUAACACAUGCAAGUCGAACGGAAAGGCCCCUUUGGGGGUACUCGAGUGGCGAACGGGUGAGUAACACGUGAGUAACCUGCCCUUGACUUCGGGAUAACUUCAGGAAACUGGGGCUAAUACCGGAUAGGAAUCCUUGCUGCAUGGUGGGGGUUGGAAAGCUUCGGCGGUUUUGGAUGGACUCGCGGCUUAUCAGCUUGUUGGUGGGGUAGUGGCUUACCAAGGCGUUGACGGGUAGCCGGCCUGAGAGGGCGACCGGCCACCUUGGGACCGAGAGACGGCCGCGGCUCCUACGGGAGGCAGAAGGGGGGAAGACUGCACGAUGGGCGGCAGCCUGAUGCAGCAACGCCGCGUGCGGGAUGACGGUCUUCGGGUUGUAAACCGAUUUCAGCAGGGGCGAAGCUUGUGGUGACGGUACCUGCAGAAGAAGCACCGGCUAACUACGUG
rnacentral:rRNA from 1 species